rnacentral:rRNA from 1 species
UACAGAGACUGCAAGCGUUAUUCGGAUUCACUGGGCGUAAAGGGUGCGCAGGCGGCCAUGUGUGUCAGGUGCGAAAGCCCGAGGCUUAACCUCGGAAUUGCGCCUGAAACUACAUGGCUAGAGUAUUGGAGAGGGUAGCGGAAUUCACGGUGUAGCAGUGAAAUGCGUAGAUAUCGUGAGGAACACCAGAGGCGAAGGCGGCUACCUGGACAAUUACUGACGCUCAGGCACGAAAGCGUGGGGAGCAAAAGGG